ensembl:lncRNA
CCCAGUCCGAGAGGGAAAGUUUUCCAUUUUAUUUUUCAUUUUUAUUAUCUGUCUGGUGAAAGUGUAAAUGCCAGGAGGAUUAGAGAAAUUACAUAGGCUCUCUCCUUUCCUGGCCUGCUGCUUAUCCCCCUCUCAGCUCAUCUCUCUCUCUCGCUCUCUGUAUUUUUCAUUCGUCGCUGCCUCACCUUCUCCGUCUUCCUCUCUGUAUAAUCACCAUUUUUUCCCAGUGUGGUGUCCUUUUCUUUCUUCCUCGCCCAUCUAUAUCAAUCUCUCCAUGUCAUAGCUGCUCUGUUGCUUCACCUCCCUCCUGUGUGACAUGCCCUUAUUUCUGUCUCCCACCCCUUUCUUGCCACCGCUUCUCUUUUUUUUUUUUGAGUGCUUUGCUCCCACCGUCCUGCCAACACUCCCCAUGUGACUGAUGCUGGAGCAGCGUGAUGGCGUCUGGUCCACAUGGGUCUUGUUCGUUGGCCACUUCUCAGCAAAAAGAAGUGUUUUAAGAAGGGUCCCCUAAUCCUUAAGAUCUAUUACAGAUAGCUCGACUGACACAGGCGACAGAGAUUAGAGGGGGCAGAUACUGACUGUAUUGAUUGGCCCUCUCAUCCUGAGGCCAACCCCAGCAGCUUGCUAGUGUAAUAGAAUGCUAUAAUGAAAUUCAGCCAGUAUUCAGAGCAUGUUGGCUUUAAAUUGAUAAAGACUGGGCUGAACAGGAGUAAACUGGUGACACACUAGAGCUACAAAGGAAAGGCAGCGGACAGAGUGACUGCUGCAUGGUGUACCACUUUAAGUGAAGGUUAGCAACCGUGCAUCACAUCUCUAACAGGUGCUGGCACACAGUGGAGCAAAUUUGCUGAGAGAGAAAACCACUCUGUGUUUGGACCUGCAGGGGAUUUUUUUUUUUUAUGUAAUGUCAUGAACUUGUGUUGUAGUUAGCCGUUUGUUAGGGAUUUUCUUUGGCAGUCACAUUUAGGCAUGGUUUUGGUGCCAAAAAACAAAACCAGCUGGACCACUCACUCCUUAGUCCAUUACUGGAGGUUGCAAGGCCAAAUUCAUUUUGUGCUUAGCUCAAUGAGAUAUGAGCCAGAUUUUCUCUGAUUUUCUGCACUUUUGGAAGUGCUCAUGGCUCAUUUAGACUGAUGCUUUAAAAUUAAGAUCAGUGUGAAACACUGAAUAAACUGAAAUUUAAUUUAAAAAUGAUUGUCCUGCACACUUCCAUUAAUGCAGAGAUAGGUAAGAUAACCAAAUAAAAGCGCAUUAACA